GACGAACGCUGGCGGCGUGCCUAAUACAUGCAAGUAGAACGCUGAAGGAGGAGCUUGCUCUUCUGGAUGAGUUGCGAACGGGUGAGUAACGCGUAGGUAACCUGCCUGGUAGCGGGGGAUAACUAUUGGAAACGAUAGCUAAUACCGCAUAACAGUAGAUGUUGCAUGACAUUUGCUUAAAAGGUGCAAUUGCACCACUACCAGAUGGACCUGCGUUGUAUUAGCUAGUUGGUGGGGUAACGGCUCACCAAGGCGACGAUACAUAGCCGACCUGAGAGGGUGAUCGGCCACACUGGGACUGAGACACGGCCCAGACUCCUACGGGAGGCAGCAGUAGGGAAUCUUCGGCAAUGGACGGAAGUCUGACCGAGCAACGCCGCGUGAGUGAAGAAGGUUUUCGGAUCGUAAAGCUCUGUUGUAAGAGAAGAACGAGUGUGAGAGUGGAAAGUUCACACUGUGACGGUAGCUUACCAGAAAGGGACGGCUAACUACGUG
rnacentral:rRNA from 1 species